AAUUGACGGCAUUGAACUUCUCGUUUCCAAGAUGCUAAACUAUAGGUGUUUCGUUCCUGACACUUUCAUGACAAUACCUGAGACGAGUAGCGAGACGUAGCUUUCUGAAUUAUUUACUUUUUGUUUGGUUGUGUGGUUAUGGUUUCAUAUCAACUCGCUAAGGAAAACAACUGAAGGAAGAAAUAAACAAAUAUAUAUUCGUGAAAAAUAGUGUACUAUAGCUGCAAUAAGAUACACAGGUCGAAGGCCACUGAUCAUUCAACAAGAGCCAAAGGUUGUACCGCUCAUGGCAACUCUGCACGAGCUGAAGAUUGUACCGUCCAGUGACCAUUCUACCCUGGAUUCCUCGAGUCAAGAGAGACGCACCACGAUUGAUAUGAGGUACAGACUAGGGGGGCGUCGCUGAUCAAUGGUCAGUUAGACUCCAAUAGGAAGUAUCCCGUGUCGGCCACACAUACAUAGUACUGGAGACUGCAACAUCCCAAUUAUGAGAUCUUUGUAAUACUAACCUCGAGCCAACCGCGAGUAAUCGGUUACAUAUUACUAACAUAGUUGUGAGACAAAAAUUGUCAAAAUAUUGGACUCCCGGCCCCGUCAGACUAACGCCACAUGUGCCUUAAUAAAAUAUAUAUUUUGGGAAAAAAAAAUUAUAUAUUAUUCAAUAUUUUUGGGGGACAGUGAGGAUUUGAUGAGCUUGUGAGUGUGAUAAAAGUGCUAUAAGUCUAAGAAAUCUGUUGUCCAACUCCUCCACAGAUAAUCGUUCAUCUCGCGGUUCUCUAUCAUGCCAAAAUUAUAUUGUGAAUAUUUUAUUUACUUCAGAUGCCGUAUUAUUGUGCAGUAAAAGGAUGUGGAAACAAGGUUCUCAUAACGAAAAAUAACCCGGACAUUGUUUACCACACUUUUCUCCGAGAUGGAGAUAGACUUCAUAAAUGGAUACUUUCUGUGGCCAAUCGAAGGAUUGGAAACCUCAGAAAAAUCAAGGUAUAUGCUCACGUCAUUUCCAUAGCAGCAGCUACGAUGACCGACAUCAAAUGCGCCAUGAACUUAAUGGUACGAGGAAAUAUAGGAUGUUGAAUUCGAAAGUUAAA